GCGCUUGCUUUGGCGGCACAUAUACUAAAACUGGAAUGAUACAGAGAGGAUUAUCAUGACCCCACACAAGGAUGACAUGUAAAUUCAUGAAGUGGUCCAUAGUUUU
ensembl:snRNA U6 U6 spliceosomal RNA